GUGCUUGCUUCAGCAGCACAUAUACUAAAAUUGGAAUGAUACAGCGAAGAUUAGCAUGGCCCCUGUGUAAGGAUGAUGCACAAAUUUGUAAAGCAUUCCAUAUUUUU
rnacentral:snRNA from 1 species